ensembl:lncRNA
CAUUCUCUCCUCUGGUUAAAUCUCAUUGUUUCCCUCAGAUGUGGUUUCUGACUGUCACUUAAUUGGUGUGACUAAUUCUUUUACAGAUCCUGGAAAAGAGAAAGAAUCAAAAUCUCCAGCUGCCACAAAAGAUAAAGAUUCCCUGAAAGGAAAAAAUCCCAGGAAUCCAGAGAGCUUAAAAGAAAAAGAGACUGGUAAAAGAAAAGAUGUAAAGCCUCCAGCAGCCUUAAAGGAGAAAGACUCUUCAAAACGAAAAGAAAUUAAGGCUUCAACUAAUCCUAAGGAAAAAGCUGCAGUGAAAAAGGAGGGGGAGAAGAAAGCUACCUCAGAGAACCCUCAUGAACACAAGCAUGAACGUGUUAAACGUGAAAAAGCUGUCUCUCAGACUAAGCCAGAGGAGAAAAUGAAACAACAAAAGGCAACUCCCACUGAGAAGUCAGAGCAUGAAACAGUCAGACAUGAAAAAGAUGUUCCCCUUACAAAACCAGAGCCAACAGCUGAAAUCCCGACAUCAGCCACAAAAAAACCAAAGACAACUAAGGAAAAAGAAGAAAAAACAACUGAGAAGAAACAGCUGAAAGAUGAAAAAACUAAAGUAAAAGAAGAUCCACGACAUCAAAACGUGACAUCAGCUCCUGUCCGCUACUUUCAAUGUGUCUUCCUAAAUGGACCUAAUGGAUUUGGGCUGCAAUUUCCUAUUAAUCCCCCUUCAAACAAGGAAGAAAAGACUCACUCAAAGACUUCCAAGAGAAAGACAAGGAAACCGGGGCAGUAGAGAGACUGAGUCCUGUGAUCACUGACAUUUUGCACUUUAUCUUUUCUGCUGAGGUCCACAGUAGCUACAGUGGUACUUGUCAUUGCAAGAACGUGAUCCACUUGCACUCAUGUACCUGGAAAAAGUUUCCAUGGGGCAGCGGCAGAACAAGCAGAACAAUGAACCGUGUUUAACAAAGAUAGAAAUGUAAAAGUGCCCAGUUUCUUAUGGAAAGGCUGCAAUGCUAACAAAGCAUUGAUGUGACUGUGUGUGUGAGCAUGUGCGUGUGUUUUCAUGCCUCUUUUGCUCUUGUUUUUCUUUACCUACACGCUCAGCAUUGAAGUGAGUCUGUUUUCCAUUUAAUCUUAUCUAAGGAGUAAGAGGUUGAAUGUAGCUCUUAUAUCAGCAAGAUUGCAAGACUAGCUGCAAUCCUAAACCAUUUCUUCUCAACGUUCAAUCAAAUUGCUGACAGGAAAAUGCCUCACUAAGUCAUGAAAAUGUGCUCUGUGACUGGUGCUAUUUUUAUGUCUCAUUGACCAGCGUAGCUCGAAGCUCGCACUUACACGGAGCAGCUCAACACACUGUCAGUAAGUUGACUCCACCAGUCAUGUUAAUGAUGAAUAUUUCUAUUUAAUCUGAAACUGUAAAAGCAUGGACUGUUUGCCCAGCCUGUUGAUGAAAUACAAGCUCUUCUCUUCCUAAGACCCAAAGUGAGAAGAGAAAGUGAAACCACGUAGCAAAAUUUAGGAAAACCACUCUUUUAGCGACAUGAAGGUCUGAAGUAACAAAUUAAAUAAUUAUAGUGCUUCCACUUCUGUGACUAAAUCAGAUUGUUUUGCAGCAAAAAACAUGUCAAUGGAAAAUAUAGCAGCCAAAAAUUUGCUAUUAGCUUAAGCCAGAUGAAAAGCUAGGAUGUGAGAUGCCAUUCACAAAACUAAAGCAACCCAAAUUUCCAGUAAUUAUGUGAAUUUGAUGGUAUUUCAGAUCAGGUGAAAAAAAAAAAACAAAACCCCCCCCCCCAAAAAAAUCAGAAUAAAAUGAAACAUAAAUGCAUUAAAUAAUCCAGGUAUCUCAUUUUACUAGAUGAAAUGAAAGGACUUCUCACAGCACACUACUGCAAAUGGCUUGCAGUAGAACUGAAAGUGUGCUUGUCCUCAACAUUCUUUUUGUGCAUUUAUGUAGAAAUAAAGGAUUUGUUGUCCGGCAGUAGAACUGAAAGUGUGCUUGUCCUCAACCUUCUUUUGUGCAUUUAUGUAGAAAUAAAGGAUUUAUUGUCCAAAAAAAAGAAACAAGAUGGCAUUUGAUCAAUUUAAAGGUGCAUGAAUGGAAACUGGCAUCUCACCAGUCUGUCUGGCAAUGUAAAUAAUGCAUUUUUGCCAGCUGCUAUUUGUUUGCAUUUCUUUACUAUAUUUUUGCAUUUAAUCUGGGAAAUAUACAGCAGUGACCUUAGUUAUGUAGUUGCCUGCUGAAGCAACAUGAUCCUCUUUGUGUAAACCCACUACUUGUGGAGUCUGAACAAGCCAAAAACUAUAUAUCACUUUUUUAUUUUUAGUAUAGAUCAAGAUAGCAUUGGUCUCCUCCCCCUUACACUCUCCCUGCCCAUCAUCUUACUUUAAUAAAAUAAUUGACUCAUGUGAGUUUUGGACAGCUGAUUCUUUGACAGCUUAGUGCAAUUCAGAAAGCUUUGCUGUUACACUGCUGGGUCCAGUUGGUAUUCUCUACUACUGGUCAUGGCCUCACGUGAGCUGGAUCCUUGGUCUUAAUGUGCUCUGAUAUUGCACAGGUCAUGUGCUGCAAAAGCUGUCAUUGCAACAAGCAGUUUAGGCAGUGGUGACCAGAAAGAGGUAGAAAUACGUCCUGCUCUAGAAGUAGCUAUUCCCAUGUAGAAUCACACUGUAGAUAUGAGUGUUCAUGGUGAAUGUCCCCACAGACUCCUGUGAAAUCUGCUCUGGAGAUAGCACUGCCAACAGAGAAUUUUUAAUGGUAGAAUGAUGAUCUUCAAUUUUCUUUUGGUGUCUCCUUUUAUAUUUCCAGCAACUUUUUCCUUCCCAAAUUGUGGUUUUGUACAUAUUAUGAUGGAUGCUAUUGCCCUAGGUUUUACUGUGAAAGCUGUCUUAAAAAUGAGAUUUUAACUUUCUGCAAAAUCAGUUAAUUCAAGAUUUUAUCUAAUGCAAAUAAUCAGGACAAAAAAAAAUAAUAUACUCUAGGCCUUUAUAUUUUUUUUGUCUUCUUUUUGGAAUUUUUUUUUUUUCAUUAUAGUUACCCUUAAUUCUUCCCCCCUGUCUGAAAUGGGAGAUGACAAGAAUUUGUUCUGGAUCUCAUUUCCAUAGUGCUUAAUUAGAUAUGUUUCAAUGUUAGAUAUCUGAAAGCUUUGGAAAUAUAAAUAAUUAAAAUAAUUGCAUAACUGAUGUAAAAUCAAUCAUUUAAUUUUGUUCCCUAAUCUUAGUCACUGCCUGGAAAAGUAGAAAAAACUGGUUUACUUAGAGAGGCAAGUGUUUUUCUCUUUAAAUUUAUCUCAAAACUUAAAAAAAGUUCCUGGUUUGCAUGGUUUUACCCAAAUUAGCCUGAAAUAUUGCAAAAACUUAUGCUGAUUGUUAUAUAUUUUGGAAAAUAAAAAAUAUAAACCCUGUUUCAGUGGCUGUGAUAUGUUGUUCUGUGAAAUCAAAAGUGCAGGACAAGGGUUUAUGUAUGCAAGCUUUAGAAAUCUUUGAUUAUAAAGAUGCAAUUAG